rnacentral:misc_RNA from 1 species
GAUAAGAACGCAGCGAACUGCGAUAAGUAAUGUGAAUUGCAGAAUUCAGUGAAUCAUCGAGUCUUUGAACGCACAUUGCGCCCCCUGGCAUUCCGGGGGGCAUGCCUGUCCGAGCGUCAUUGCUGCCCUUCAAGCCCGGCUUGUGUGUUGGGUCGUCGUCCCCCCCGGGGGACGGGCCCGAAAGGCAGCGGCGGCACCGCGUCCGGUCCUCGAGCGUAUGGGGCUUUGUCACCCGCUCGAUUAGGGCCGGCCGGGCGCCAGCCGGCGUCUCCAACCUUCUAUUUUACCAGGUUGACCUCGGAUCAGGUAGGGAUACCCGCUGAACUUAAGCAUAUCAAUAAGCGGAGGA